UCGCCAGUCGGUCGCGCGUUACCGAGCCAAGUGGAUGAGUUCGCGAACGCGCUCCCGCUAAAAGCU